GUAAUCCCUCACUCCCACUGCAUACUCACGCUCUCCUAACCCUUAAUCCUCUUUCUACCUCUGGUCCACCACGAAGCUGCUUCUGGCUUUCCUCCACCGGGAAACCACUUCUCUACAAACCGCGUUUCGUUCACGCAAGAUGUGUUCUGCGAUUUGUUGGAUUUCAAGGUACAAAAGGUGACUACCACUUCUGCAAUACACGUUUCAAGGUGAUUUUUGUUGGAUGAAUUGGCGUUUCCGUUUCCGUGCUGUGUUUUUUACUGGAUCCACGAACUGAUUUUUUACAGGAUGAAAUUCAUUUCUCGGUUCAGUUAGAGGUUCAAAACGUCAACUGAUUUUCUACGGUGUUUUAAUCAUCUGCAACUUGCUUAUGGUUCUGAAAUUUUGCAAGAGUGCAACGCUAUUCCCAGCUAAGUUCUGAAAUCACGUCUACUGAUUUUACUGCUUUGAGAACGAAAUCAGUAUUAAAGUUUUAUAGCAGUUCAGGGAGAUGAUCAAGGAUUACUUCUGUUCCAAUUCCUGUAAGUUGCUUCUUACUCAUCAUCUUAACUCUAGGUAAUUUAUUGUUUGUUACGGUAUUUUAGGAAUUCCUUUUUAACUUUAGUCUGAAUUAAAUAUAGAUUUUUAAACCAUAUAUCAAUCUAGGUUUAAAAAACAGUGAGAAGUGGACUAAUUAGUAUUUCUUUAGUACUUGAAGUGCAGAGUAUAGUAAACACGAUGCAAGAAAAAAGAAAACAGAGAAGAAAAGAAGGACGAGGGAGAUAAAAAGAGAACGAAGAGGUGUGUUUUACGUUUUGAUGUAUCUGAUAACUCUUUUUGCAGCUUUCAUAUGUGUUUCGUUUGGACAGUGCAUGAACCUUGAAAGAAUACUCACAACAUUUAGGAUGUCAGGUCUGGUUGUUGUUAAGUACAUCAGACAACCUAUCAAACUUCUAAACUUAGAUUCAUUAACCUUGUCAGAACCAUCAUCUUUGAUUAGCUUCUCCUUUUGAUUCAUGGGAGUGUUCACAGUUUUGCAAUCUUCCAUCAGAAAUUUCUUGAGUAUUUCCUUUGCAUGUUUUCUUUGACUUAAGAAAACUUCAUCCUGAUUCUGUUUGAUCUCAAUGCCAAGAAAGUAUGACAUAAGACCAAGAUCUGUCAUUUCAAAGACCUUUUUCAUUUCCAGUUUGAACUGGUUGAUUUCUUCAACAUUGCUUCCUGUAACUAACAUGACAUCCACAUAAAGAGAAAUUACCAAAAUAUUUGUACCUUGAUGUUUGACAUACAAUGUGAGUUCAGAUUGGCUUUUAUGAAAGCCAAGGUGCACCAGAUGAUCAUCAACCUUGUUGUACCAGGCUCGUGGAGCUAGCUUUAAUCCAUAUAAAUCCUUUUUCAAAAAGUAGACUUUAUUUUCAUUGCCCUCAUUCACAAAGCCUUCAGGUUGUUCAACAAAAAUUUCUUCUUGCAAAUCUCCAUUUAAGAAUGCAGAUUUAACAUCCAAAUGGUAUACUUUCCAGCUCCUUUGAGCAGCAAGAGCAAGCAAUAAUAUUACAGUGUCAAGCCUGGCAACAGGUGCAAAUGUCUUUGAAUAAUCAACACCAAAAACUUGUGCAUAUCCUUUCACAACAAGUCUUGCUUUGAAUUUGUUGAUAGAACCAUCAGGACUUAGCUUGGUUCUGAAAACCCAUCUUACUCCAAUUAUUUUUCUGUUUAGUCGACCAACCAACUCCCAGGUUUUAUUUUUCUCAAUCAUAGAAAGCUCCUCCUACAUUGCAGCCAUCCAGUGUUGACUGUUUUUUGCAUCGUGAAAUCCUGCAGGCUCACAAACAGCUACAUUGCACCUUUGACAGAUGUCAGACAAUAGUCUUGUUCCUCUGACAGGUGCAUCAUCAACUGUAGCAUCAUCUUCAGAUUCUUCAGUCAUGCUCCCAAGGGUUGAACUGUUUGGAGCAUUUGGACUUUGAUUCACCUUAGUUGAACUUUCCCAAUCCCAUUGUUCAUUUUCAACAAAAUGAACAUCUCUGCUUACAAUCACACGACCAAUUUGUGGCUGAAAAAUUUUGUAAGCUUUGGAUACAGUGCUAUAUCCAACAAAGAUGCUUGCUUAUGCUUUUUUAUCAAGCUUAUCACGCUUGACCUGUGGAAUAUAAGUGAAGCAAAGACAACCAAAUAUUUUGAGAAAUUUUAAAGAAGGUUUGUAGCCAUACCAAGCUUCAUAUGGUGUCAGAUCUUUCAAGGCUUUUGUAGAAAUUCGAUUUUGUAGGAAUACAACAGUGUUUGUUGCCUCCCCCCAUAACCCUUUUGGAAGAUUCUUUUCAUGGAGCAUACACCUUGUCAUCUCCAUAAUGAAUCUGUUCUUCCUUUCACUGACACCAUUCUGUCGAGGAGUAUAUGGUGUUGUUAAUUGAUGUUGAAUUCCAGCUUCUUCACAAAAUUUGUUGAAAGCAUCAGAGGUGUAUUCCUUGCCAUUGUCAGACCUUAUAAUCUGAAUUGAGCAUCCACUUUCAUUUUCAACUCUGGUUUUGAAUUUCCAGAAUAUACUGGGAACCUCUAACUUUUGUUUCAACAUGAAAAUCCAACACAUUCUUGUUAGAUCAUCAAUAAAAAUUAUGUAGUAGAGGUUACCAUUUAAUGAAGGUGUUCUCUGAGGACCACACAAAUCAGUGUGCACCAGUUGCAGCUUUUUCGAGGCUCUCCAAGCUUGUUUAGGGAAAGGUUGUCUGUGUUGCUUCCCAAAAUUGCAGGCAUGACAAGGAGGAAUAUUAUCAUCAAUGUCUGCGAGUCCUUCAACUAGCUUCUUUGAUUGCAUCUGAAACAAUCCUUGAUGAUGAAAGUGCCCAAGUCUUUUGUGCCAAAUCUCAGUGGCACUAGCUCUGGACUUGAAGGCCAUUUGUUCUUUCUCCAUUGGAUUUAAAGCAAAGCUUUUUCCUUUCAUUUUGACAUUGAACAAGUCUUUGCCACUAGCAUCUCUAAUCAAGCACUGUUUAUUCUCAAACAACACUUUAUAGCCUUUAUCGAGUAGGUGGCCAACACUUAAGAGAUUUUGAUCAAUUUUAGGUACAAAUAAAACAUCUGAAACAAAUUUUGUACCUUCAUAGCUUGCUAUAGCUACUGUGCCUUUUUCCCUUGACUUCCAAGAGUUCACCAUUUCCAAUUCUCACUCUCUUAACUUCAGUGUUUUUUAAUUCUUCGAAAAGCUCCUUGUCAUAUGUCAUAUGAUUUGUGCACCCACUGUCAAUCAACCAGCUCUCACUUGAUUCUCUACUUGAGAAACAAGUGACCACGAACAAUUGAUCUUCUUCUUGACCAACAACUUGUGCAUCUACUUCUUGCACCUGACCUUUGACUUUGCAGAUCACAGCUUCAUGUCCAAGUUGAUUGCAUUUGGAGCAUUUUGCAUCGGGUCUUCUCCAACACUUGUAUGGUGGAUGACCUUUCUUCUCACAGUGGCGGCAAGGUGGGUAGGAUUUUUUGGAACCUUCUUCCUUUUUUAAGUUUUUCUUCUUUUUGUACCUGUUGUUGUCUUGAUGCUUGACAGGUAAAGCUCCUUCAAUCACCCCUUCUUGCCUCAUAGACCUUCUUUGCUCUUGUGCUUGUAAAGCAUUCAAGAGCUCUGUAAGAGAGAUUUUUGACAGGUCUUAGGUGUUCUCCAGAGUAGUAAUGGUGGCUUCAAACUUCCCGGGAACAGUGACCUGCAGCUUUUCAACAAUCCUAGAGUCAAUACACACAGAACCAAGUAAUCUCACCUUAUUGGCAAUGCUGAGAAGUCUGUCAGAGUACUCCUUCAUUGACUCAAACUCCUUCCUCUUCUGCAACUCGAAAUCCUGAAUCAAAUUCAGGACUUUCAUUCCACGAAUCCUCUCAUCUCCUGCAAAUUCACCCUUGAGGUAAUCCCAAAUUUCCUUUGUUGUUUUGAGGGACAUUAUUCGUGUGAAGAUCAUUUGAGAUAUAACUGCAAAUAGGCAAGCUUUUUCCUUUGAUUUUAUGGUUUUUUUCUCCUUCUAUGCUUUGAUUUGUGCAACAGUAGGAUUUGCUGGAAGUGGAGGGACUUCGUAAUCUUCUUCUACUGCUUCCCAAAGAUCCAAAGCCUUCAGAUAAGUCUCCAUACGAAUUGCCCACAUUUGAUAAUUGUCUCCAUCAAAGACUGGUGGUGCAACAGCUGAAAAACUUGAUUCUCCUUCCAUUUUGACCUCACAGAUCCCUUAAGAAGAGUGCUUUGAUACCAAUUUGUUAGUUUCAAAACAAAUAAUAUUUGAUUGAUCAAUUGAGAUGAUAUAUUAAAGUUGGAAAGUUGUGCAUUUGUACACAGAAUGAAUAAAGAUUGUUCUAAAAAACAGAAAAUAAAUAUGGUAACAAACCAAUAGUUAAAACAGAAUUAAUUAAUUUUCUAAAAAUCUGGAGACUUAUUCAAUAACAAAAAAAAGCUAACUUGUAGGAUGUUAAACACAUGAUCCUAACAAACAUUCUUAAAUAUCAACUUUUUUUUAAAAGAACUAUAGAAAAGGUUUCAUAAAACCAAUAAAAGAAGAAAGAGUUUGGUUACUGACUUACCACGUCAAAAACAGCCUUAAGUUAACU
rnacentral:lncRNA from 1 species